rnacentral:tRNA from 1 species
GGAGCUGUGCCUGAAGUAAAGGGCCACUUUGAUAGAGUGUAAUAUGGAGGUUCAAAUCCCCCCAACUCCU